rnacentral:rRNA from 1 species
CCUACGGGUGGCUGCAGUGGGGAAUAUUGCACAAUGGGGGAAAGCCUGAUGCAGCGAAGCCGCGUGAAGGAAGAAGGAUUUCGGGAUGGUAACUUCUAUCAGCAGGGGAGAAAAUGACGGUACCUGACUAACAAGCCACGGCUAACUACGUGCCAGCAGCCGCGGUAAUACGUAGGGGGCAGGCGUUAUCCGGAUUUACUGGGUGUAAAGGGAGCGUAGGCGGUUUAGCAAGUCAGAAGGGAAAGCCCGGGGCUCAACUCCGGGACUGCUUUUGAAACUGUUGAACUAGAUUGCAGGAGAGGUAAGUGGAAUUCGUAGUGUAGCGGUGAAAUGCGUAGAUAUUAGGAGGAACACCAGUUGCGAAGGCGGCUUACUGGACUGUAAAUGACGCUGAGGCUCGAAAGCGUGGGGAGCAAACAGGAUUAGAUACCCUGGUAGUC